ensembl:lncRNA LINC00943 long intergenic non-protein coding RNA 943
GAGGUCAUGACUGCCAGCAUUAUGACCAGUCUUGGAACUAGGAUUGGGGUGGGGUUCAUCCCACCCAGACCACAGAGACUGAAAAUAAGAAAGGGGUGAGGCCUAAGGGACAAUCAGGAUGUUUUUCAGAGAGAAGUGUGGAUGCUGGACAGGAAGAACCACAGAUACCAGAUACGGAAAAGGAAGAAUCAACACUUUCAGAGAUGGAGCCUGUUGAGCCACAGUACCAACUAGUCAAUGCUGAAUCGACUUCUCCCUUUCUACAUUGCCUGAGAGAAGUCAUUGGGGAAUACUCUGUACACGAAUUUUCACUGUUGGGGAAAACAGAGAGUCAAGGGAUUGGAUUGUGGAUUGCAUUGGUGGUUUUCCUCAGUUUCCUCAUCUUCUCCACAAGUUUCUACAUAUCGAAUGCAGAGCAGCCCUUCUUCAAAGGACCUCCUACGGAAGCUGCUAAGGAACUCAGUCUGUAGCUCUGCGUGGAGCCAUGUGUAAACACUGAACUGAGACCUGCCACCUCCUACUACCUAAGGGCCCAUUUUCAUCUGAUAUCAUCCCCCAGAAACAAACUCAUGAUGACUUCCAUGUUUUUUUUAGAUUAGAUACAUGGAGAAUUUUCCUUUCCCUUAGAAUUAAAAUCCUGCAUUCUAAUUUUCAGUAAGCUUUUUUAUUUCUGAAUAAUUUUAAAUUUAAAGAGAAGUUGCAAAGAUAGUAUAGAAUGUUCCCUUAUACCUGUUUUUAUUUAGAGUGAUGUUCCCAGGAGAAAUGAUAAUGCAGCAAUGGACAAGAACAGGAACAAGAGACAGUCUUACCAUCUUCUUACAAUUUAUAGAUGGGACAGUGGAAAGAGAAGCCACAUCGGGGUUGGGCAUGCAGAGACCUGGUCCUAAAUCUGUGUGACUUUUGCGAAAUCCUUUUGCCUCACAGAGCUCUAGGUUCUUAUCUGUCAAACAGGAACCAGACCAUCAGAUCCGUAGAGAUCCAACCAAUGAAGGAGACUUCGAAAACUUCACAUUGCCGUGUCAAUGUGAGGUUGCUGGAUGGUUAUGACAAGAAAUCACAUUAAAUUCACUGGGGUAACAUUGUUCAUGAAACGGGAUAAUGUGUUUCAGCGAUGAACCACCCAUGGCCUUACUACAGACAUAUUUCCACUUUGAAAAUGUGUGUGAGUGUACAUGUCUGUGUGUGAGGCAGAGAUUAGAAAGUGUAAAUGUGUGCGUUUUCAUUUUACACAUCUUACAUUUUCCUUUAAUUUGUUUGAAAGCCUGUUUUGUUUGUGGCUUCCAUUCCUGGAAGUCCCAUGAGUUGUUAGUGGUGAAGAUGGAACAGAUGUGUCCAACCCGGGGGACUCCUGCCCUCAGGGACUGAGCAGCUGCAAACCUCUCUCUCAUCUGAUUCCACUGUUUCUUCCACAUGUACACAUCAUGAGAAAUAUUGUUCAAUCAAUAUCUUCCCUUAAAUCAACUCAUAUGCUUAUUUACAUGAAUUUACCUAAAACAGAAACUUGAUAUCACUUCUGUAAAUGAAAAAAUUAAACUUUCUGGCUUUAAAUAAAGCAUAACAAUAAUAAUCAUGUCAAAA